rnacentral:rRNA from 1 species
GAUGAACGCUGGCGGCGUGCCUAAUACAUGCAAGUCGAGCGAAUGGAUUAAGAGCUUGCUCUUAUGAAGUUAGCGGCGGACGGGUGAGUAACACGUGGGUAACCUGCCCAUAAGACUGGGAUAACUCCGGGAAACCGGGGCUAAUACCGGAUAACAUUUUGAACCGCAUGGUUCGAAAUUGAAAGGCGGCUUCGGCUGUCACUUAUGGAUGGACCCGCGUCGCAUUAGCUAGUUGGUGAGGUAACGGCUCACCAAGGCAACGAUGCGUAGCCGACCUGAGAGGGUGAGUGGCCACACGGGGACUGAGGCACGGCCCAGACUCCUACGGGAGGCAGCAGUAGGGAAUCUUCCGCAAUGGACGAAAGUCUGACGGAGCAACGCCGCGGGAGUGAUGAAGGCUUUCGGGUCGUAAAACUCUGUUGUUAGGGAAGAACAAGUGCUAGUUGAAUAAGCUGGCACCUUGACGGUACCUAACCAGAAAGCCACGGCUAACUACGUGCCAGCCGCCGCAGUAA